rnacentral:rRNA from 1 species
AGAGUUUGAUCAUGGCUCAGAACGUACGCUGGCGGCACGCCUAACACAUGCAAGUCGAACGAAGUAGCAAUACUUAGUGGCAGACGGGUGAGUAACAUGUGGGUAUCUGCCCUUUGGCCUGGAAUAACACGAGGAAACUUGUGCUAAUACCGGAUAAGUCUUUACGGAGAAAGCUUUAUGCACCAUUGGAUGAGCCCGCACUUGAUUAGUUUGUUGGUGGGGUAAUGGCCUACCAAGACUGUGAUCAAUAGCUGAUUUGAGAGGAUGAUCAGCCACAUUGGGACUGAGACACGGCCCAAACUCCUACGGGAGGCAGCAGUGGGGAAUCUUGCACAAUGGAGGAAACUCUGAUGCAGCGAUGCCGCGUGAGUGAAGAAGGCCCUUGGGUUGUAAAGCUCUUUCGUCGGGGAAGAAAAUGACUGUACCCGAAUAAGAAGGUCCGGCUAACUUCGUGCCAGCAGCCGCGGUAAUACGAAGGGACCUAGCGUAGUUCGGAAUUACUGGGCUUAAAGAGUUCGUAGGUGGUUGAAAAAGUUAGUGGUGAAAUCCCAGAGCUUAACUCUGGAACUGCCAUUAAAACUUUUCAGCUAGAGUAUGAUAGAGGAAAGCAGAAUUUCUAGUGUAGAGGUGAAAUUCGUAGAUAUUAGAAAGAAUACCAAUUGCGAAGGCAGCUUUCUGGAUCAUUACUGACACUGAGGAACGAAAGCAUGGGUAGCGAAGAGGAUUAGAUACCCUCGUAGUCCAUGCCGUAAACGAUGUGUGUUAGACGUUGGAAAUUUAUUUUCAGUGUCGCAGCGAAAGCGAUAAACACACCGCCUGGGGAGUACGACCGCAAGGUUAAAACUCAAAUGAAUUGACGGGGACCCGCACAA